GUCACAGACAGUUGUGGUUACAGCCUACAUCCCCCUGCUCAUGAUCUUUCACUUCUGCUCACCCAGACAAUCAAAACCGAUUAUGGAAUGACUUAUGAAACUUCAAAUAAAAGAACUGAGUUCCCAACCUCUACAAGCUUCCUGCGCAUGAGUGGGCUCCUCCAGGCUGAAAAGUGAGUUGUUGAAGAGACACAGAACUCUUGUUCCCCCGUGUGCUGUUAUUGCCACAUCUGCGUGUUUGUUACUGCCUCAGCAGCUGUCCCCUCACUGCAUGGAUGGAAAUGAGGUGGCCCAACGGCAUGCUUCAGCAAGGAACAAGGAACACACACUCCAUCAUGUGAUAGAUUCCUGUUGUGUCCAUGCUAUGCACAAACAUAAAGCUGUGGGCUCCCUGAGAGGCACUUUCUUCCUUCUAGGUCAGCCAGUUUAAAUUGGAGCCUGUAGCAAGAGAUCUAUUUCUCACCAAACAAACUUCUCUACAGGAAAGUUCAUGUCUUUAAAUAUAUUUUUGAACAAAA